GGGGGGUCUUGAUCCCCUUCCAAAAGAGGACCCUCUUAUUCAUUCCACCUGUUAUUAUUCUUUGGACUAGAGAGAUGCACAGAACACGUGUUGGGUAAACAAGGCGGAACCCUCGUCAGCAUGGCUGAGCUGGCGGCUCCUGACAGAACGCUGAAUGAGUGAUUUACGGUUUCAAGUGAGAAGCUUUCACAGUGGAGACUAUAGGAGAGGAGAAUGGAGGAGGAGGUCUCGGAGACCACGCUGGAUGUCAACCCUGUCAACCUUUAUUUUCACCUGUCAGUGCGGUGACUGACGUACAAACGUUUGCUUGCCCUUCCUGUGGUCUUCACCCGCGUGCGUUGCCGUGACAGCCUGCGAGGAGGAGACAGCCCGGGCCUUCGUCUCAGGGCCUUGCCCCCCCCCUUGCCCCCCCCACACACACUACACUCUUUAUCUCAGACGGAGUGAUUGAGAAAGCAACCGCCUCAUCCUUCUCCUCUCGAGACGUCAUUUACUCCUCUAAAACACAACUAGUAGCGAGAGAGAUAUGAAAGGGAUGGACAGUGAAGACAGUGGAGACACCUGUCCAGGAUUGGCUGAGUUGUGAGGGUUUGCAGGUGAAGUUCUUCUGCUCAUGCAUCCAACCAGUCAGGCCCAUACUGUAUACAAUAGAUCAAAUCAUAUUCAUCACAUGGAUACUGUGUCAGUUGAUGGUGAGUUUUGUUAGAUUUGUUGCGGUGGAGAUGCUCCUUUCUGCCAGUCAUUUCCAUUUGCCAAGGCCUUCACAGAGUAGAGCAAGCACAAAGCACUCCGAAUUACAAGAACAUAUGUUAUAUGUAUUAUAUAAUGUAACAUUUUAUAGAAUAGAUACUUGUAAUAAUCAAAGUAGAACCAUCUGUUAUUAUCAGUUGGAUUUAAUGUUCCAAAUGUUGGGGUUGCCUUUUUAUUCAUGUGUACCUUUCAGUGCUGAUUUUAAAAGCAUAAGUAUUCAACGUGGAUACAGCAAUUAGCUGGGCCAAAUCCACAUAACGCCAUUCAAUUGUAGCUUGCAAACCAUGAAAAUAAAUAUGUCU